UACAGAGGUCUCGAGCGUUAGGCGGAAUCACUGGGCUUAAAGCGUGUGUAGGCGGAUCGGUAAGUACCUUGUGAAAUCCCACAGCUUAACUGUGGAACUGCUUGGUAUACUGCCGGUCUUGAGCCAGCUAGGGGCUACCGGAACAAAUGGUGGAGCGGUGAAAUGCGUAGAUAUCAUUUGGAACGCCAAUGGUGAAAACAGGUAGCUGGGGCUGUGCUGACGCUGAGACACGAAAGCCAGGGGAGCAAACGGG
rnacentral:rRNA from 1 species